rnacentral:rRNA from 1 species
ACGGCUCAGUAACACGUAGUCAACAUGCCCAGGGGACGUGGAUAACCUCGGGAAACUGAGAUUAAACCGCGAUAGGUCAAGAUUUCUGGAAUGGAUCCUGGCUUAAAUCUACAUGGCCCCUGGAUUGGACUGCGGCCGAUCAGGCUGUUGGUGAGGUAAUGGCCCACCAAACCUAUAACCGGUACGGGCUCUGAGAGGAGAAGCCCGGAGAUGGGCACUGAGACAAGGGCCCAGGCCCUAUGGGGCGCAGCAGGCGCGAAAACUCUGCAAUGGGCGAAAGCCUGACAGGGUUACUCUGAGUGAUUUCCGCUAAGGAGAUCUUUUGGCAGCUCUAAAAAUGGUGCAGAAUAAGGGGUGGGCAAGUCUGGUGUCAGCCGCCGCGGUAAUACCAGCACCCCGAGUGGUCGGGACGAUUAUUGGGCCUAAAGCAUCCGUAGCCGGUUGUGCAAGUCCUCCGUUAAAUCCAGCCGCUCAACGGAUGGGCUGCGGAGGAUACUACAGAACUAGGAGGCGGGAGAGGCAAGCGGUACUUAGUGGGUAGGGGUAAAAUCCUUUGAUCCAUUGAAGACCACCAGUGGCGAAGGCGGCUUGCCAGAACGCGCUCGACGGUGAGGGAUGAAAGCUGGGGGAGCAAACCGGAUUAGAUACCCGGGUAGUCCCAGCUGUAAACGAUGCAGACUCGGUGAUGGGCUAGCCUCGUGUCAGCCCAGUGCCGCAGGGAAGCCGUUAAGUCUGCCGCCUGGGGAGUACGGUCGCAAGACUGAAACUUAAAGGAAUUGGCGGGGGAG